GAGACUUGUGAAUUUAAACUAGGCACUGUCAUAGACUCCGGCACUCCGCAAUCGUGAGACUCUCUCUUCAAAAUCACGCAGCGUCGCUCGAAUAGUGUUGCAGACUCUCACAGCAUAGAAACGGGGAUGAUUACAGCAGUGCUGGCACCAGUGUUGUUGACAGGCGUUAAGUUUAGUUCCCACCAUGGACAGCCACUGACAACGAAGCUGGCAUCAUGGUCUACAUAUGUUGUUUUUCCUGCAGCCAUGGCCGCCGCCUGCGUCUAUUCUCCUCCUGGUUCCAAGGAGUCCACCAAAUAAGGCGUUGCUUGGGGCACAUGGCAUGGAAGUGGAAGUCUGCUCUUUGGUUGAAUAAUAAUAGUGUCUUCUCUGAAGAACAUUGACCAGAACAUCUUUGAAUGUAUUUUAUUCAUUCAUGAGUUCCCCUCUUGGUCACUUCUUUCGAAUGUACUGUACGGAACAAUAGUUGUCAGAUUAUCCUCAUUUGCAAGACUUGGUUUGGUUGAAUUGAGUGCAUCAAUCUUCGAAUGGUUGUGGAUGGAAGCAGUGCUUCAACUGGAUUUUGUUGCGACUGUAUCUUCUCAGGAGUGAAGUUAUGCUUGAGAAGCAGAGGUUUCUGAACAUGACUCUAGUAUUCCUUAUUUUGAACUAGAAAUCUACUAAGAG